rnacentral:rRNA from 1 species
CAGUCGCCACGGUAAUACGUAGGGUGCAAGCGUUAAUCGGAAUUACUGGGCGUAAAGCGUGCGCAGGCGGUUUCUUAAGUCUGAUGUGAAAGCCCCCGGCUCAACCGGGGAGGGUCAUUGGAAACUGGGAAACUUGAGUGCAGAAGAGGAGAGUGGAAUUCCACGUGUAGAGGUGAAAUGCGUAGAUAUCGGAAGGAACACCUGUGGCGAAAGCGGCUCACUGGACCAUUUCUGACGCUGAUGCACGAAAGCUAGGGGAGCAAACAGGAUUAGAUACCCCGGUAGUCCCUGUCUCUUAUAC